rnacentral:rRNA from 1 species
CGGCAUCGAGCAGAGGGAAAAGGAGUGAUCCGCUUUGAGAUGGCCUCGCGUCCGAUUAGCUAGUUGGUGAGGUAACGGCCCACCAAGGCGACGAUCGGUAGCCGGACUGAGAGGUUGAACGGCCACAUUGGGACUGAGACACGGCCCAGACUCCUACGGGAGGCAGCAGUGGGGAAUAUUGCACAAUGGGGGAAACCCUGAUGCAGCGACGCCGCGUGGAGGAAGAAGGUCUUCGGAUUGUAAACUCCUGUUGUUGAGGAAGAUAAUGACGGUACUCAACAAGGAAGUGACGGCUAACUACGUGCCAGCAGCCGCGGUAAAACGUAGGUCACAAGCGUUGUCCGGAAUUACUGGGUGUAAAGGGAGCGCAGGCGGGAGAACAAGUUGGAAGUGAAAUCCAUGGGCUCAACCCAUGAACUGCUUUCAAAACUGUUUUUCUUGAGUAGUGCAGAGGUAGGCGGAAUUCCCGGUGUAGCGGUGGAAUGCGUAGAUAUCGGGAGGAACACCAGUGGCGAAGGCGGCCUACUGGGCACCAACUGACGCUGAGGCUCGAAAGUGUGGGUAGCAAACAGGAUUAGAUACCCUGGUAGUCCACACCGUAAACGAUGAUUACUAGGUGUUGGAGGAUUGACCCCUUCAGUGCCGCAGUUAACACAAUAAGUAAUCCACCUGGGGAGUACGACCGCAAGGUUGAAACUCAAAGGAAUUGACGGGGGCCCGCACAAGCAGUGGAGUAUGUGGUUUAAUUCGACGCAACGCGAAGAACCUUACCAAGUCUUGACAUCCCUUGACGAUGCUGGAAACAGUAUUUCUCUUCGGAGCAAGGAGACAGGUGGUGCAUGGUUGUCGUCAGCUCGUGUCGUGAGAUGUUGGGUUAAGUCCCGCAACGAGCGCAACCCUUA